UGUAAAGAAAAAAAUAAAAAUAAAAAAAACUCAUGUGUUCUCUGCUAGGGUUUACACCCUGCCCUCUUGCGCCGCCAUCUCAAUCACGCACCGAGGCUCCGAUUGCGACGGAGGUGGCGCCGAUUCGGCCACUGCGGCGAAAAAGGUUCGGUGGCCGUUGAGUGCGCGCGACGCGAGCGGAGUGACAAGCGCGACGUGCGGGAUGUGCGGCGCCUGCCGGGGGGGGGUUGCGGCGCUCCCCUGUUGUCACUAGGGUUUUUCUUUUUUUUAGUUUUGGGGUUUGGUUUAGUUUUGGGCCUGUAAGGCUGUUGGGCUUGUAACUGGACUGUUUUUAAUUGUUUGGGCCUGGGUCGAUUGGGCCCUAUUACAAUUUAAAUCCUAAAAAAUUUCUAAAA